rnacentral:rRNA from 2 species
GGACUACCCGGGUAUCUAAUCCCGUUUGCUCCCCUGGCCUUCGCGCCUCAGCGUCAGGAACUGUCCAGAGACCCGCCUUCGCCACUGGUCUUCCUCACGAUCUCUACGCAUUUCACUGCUACACCGUGAAUUCCAGUCUCCUCUCCAGUCCUCGAGCAGAGCAGUAUCGAGUGCAGUUUCAGAGUUGAGCUCUGAGAUUUCACACCCGACUUACCCCGCAGCCUACGCGCCCUUUACGCCCAAUGAAUCCGAACAACGCUUGAGACCUCUGUAUUACCGCGGCGGCUGGCAC